AGUAAACGCUGGCGGUAGGCCUAACACAUGCAAGUCGAACGGCAGCACAGUAAGAGCUUGCUCUUACGGGUGGCGAGUGGCGGACGAGUGAGGAAUACAUCGGAAUCUACUUUUUCGUGGGGGAUAACGUAGGGAAACUUACGCUAAUACCGCAUACGACCUACGGGUGAAAGCAGGGGAUCUUCGGACCUUGCGCGAUUGAAUGAGCCGAUGUCGGAUUAGCUAGUUGGCGGGGUAAAGGCCCACCAAGGCGACGAUCCGUAGCUGGUCUGAGAGGAUGAUCAGCCACACUGGAACUGAGACACGGUCCAGACUCCUACGGGAGGCAGCAGUGGGGAAUAUUGGACAAUGGGCGCAAGCCUGAUCCAGCCAUACCGCGUGGGUGAAGAAGGCCUUCGGGUUGUAAAGCCCUUUUGUUGGGAAAGAAAAGCAGCAGGUUAAUACCCCGCUGUUCUGACGGUACCCAAAGAAUAAGCACCGGCUAACUUCGUG
rnacentral:rRNA from 1 species